rnacentral:rRNA from 1 species
UACGUAGGUGGCAAGCGUUGUUCGGAAUUAUUGGGCGUAAAGAGCGUGUAGGCGGCUAGAUAGGUCCGUUGUGAAAACUCGAGGCUCAACCUCGAGACGUCGAUGGAAACCAUCUGGCUAGAGUCCGGAAGAGGAGAGUGGAAUUCCUGGUGUAGCGGUGAAAUGCGCAGAUAUCAGGAAGAACACCCGUGGCGAAGGCGGCUCUCUGGUACGUGACUGACGCUGAGACGCGAAAGCGUGGGGAGCAAACAGG